rnacentral:pre_miRNA from 8 species
CUGGAGUGGGUGGUGCGGCUGUGGCGGGGAGGGUUCCUGGCACCGUGAUUUGGUGGAUAAACAGAAAUGAAAAUCACAUUGCCAGGGAUUUCCACUCCUGCACGGUUCUUCAGGUGCCCAAAAC